rnacentral:rRNA from 1 species
ACCUCAAAUCAGGUAGGAGUACCCGCUGAACUUAAGCAUAUCAAUAAGCGGAGGAAAAGAAACCAACCGGGAUUGCCUCAGUAACGGCGAGUGAAGCGGCAAAAGCUCAAAUUUGAAAUCUGGCACUUUCAGUGUCCGAGUUGUAAUUUGUAGAAGUAGUUUUGGGGCUGGUCCUUGUUUAUGUUCCUUGGAACAGGACGUCAUAGAGGGUGAGAAUCCCGUGUGGCGAGGAUCCCAGUCCUUUGUAAAACGCUUUCGAAGAGUCGAGUUGUUUGGGAAUGCAGCUCUAAGUGGGUGGUAAAUUCCAUCUAAAGCUAAAUAUUGGCGAGAGACCGAUAGCGAACAAGUACAGUGAUGGAAAGAUGAAAAGAACUUUGAAAAGAGAGUGAAAAAGUACGUGAAAUUGUUGAAAGGGAAGGGCAUUUGAUCAGACAUGGUGUUUGGACGCCCUGCGCUCCUUGUGGGUGCAGGACACGCUUUUCACUGGGCCAACAUCAGUUUUGGCAGCAGGAUAAAUCGCCAGGAACGUAGCUGCCCUCGGGUAGUGUUACAGCCUGGUGGAAUACUGCUAGCCGGGACUGAGGACUGCGUCUUUUGACAAAGGAUGUUGGCAUAAUGGUUAAAUGCCGCCCGUCUUGAAACAUGGACCAAGGAGUCUAACGUCUAUGCGAGUGUUUGGGUGU